AACGAACGCUGGCGGCAGGCCUAACACAUGCAAGUCGAGCGCCCCGCAAGGGGAGCGGCAGACGGGUGAGUAACGCGUGGGAAUCUACCUAGUGGUACGGAAUAACCCCGGGAAACUUGGAGUAAUACCGUAUACGCCCGAAAGGGGAAAGAUUUAUCGCCAUUAGAUGAGCCCGCGUUGGAUUAGCUAGUUGGUGGGGUAACGGCCCACCAAGGCGACGAUCCAUAGCUGGUCUGAGAGGAUGAUCAGCCACACUGGGACUGAGACACGGCCCAGACUCCUACGGGAGGCAGCAGUGGGGAAUAGUGGACAAUGGGCGCAAGCCUGAUCAGCCAUGCCGCGUGAGUGACGAAGGUCUUCGGAUUGUAAAGCUCUUUUGGCGGGGACGAUAAUGACGGUACCCGCAGAAUAAGCCCCGGCUAACUUCGUGCCAGCCGCCGCCGUAACAC
rnacentral:rRNA from 1 species